rnacentral:rRNA from 1 species
AUUGAACGCUGGCGGCAUGCUUUACACAUGCAAGUCGAACGGCAGCGCGGGCUUCGGCCUGGCGGCGAGUGGCGAACGGGUGAGUAAUGCAUCGGAACGUGCCCAGUAGUGGGGGAUAGCCCGGCGAAAGCCGGAUUAAUACCGCAUACGACCUGAGGGUGAAAGCGGGGGACCGAAAGGCCUCGCGCUAUUGCAGCGGCCGAUGUCGGAUUAGCUAGUUGGUGGGGUAAAGGCUUACCAAGGCGACGAUCCGUAGCUGGUCUGAGAGGACGACCAGCCACAGUGGGACUGAGACACGGCCCAGACUCCUACGGGAGGCAGCAGUGGGGAAUUUUGGACAAUGGGGGCAACCCUGAUCCAGCCAUGCCGCGUGCGGGAAGAAGGCCUUCGGGUUGUAAACCGCUUUUGUUCGGGAAGAAAUCCUCUGGGCUAAUACCCCGGGGGGAUGACGGUACCGGAAGAAUAAGCACCGGCUAACUACGUG